rnacentral:rRNA from 1 species
UGGCGAAGGCAGGUCUCUGGGCCAAUACUGACACUGAGGAGCGAAAGUCUGGGGAGCGAACAGGAUUAGAUACCCUGGUAGUCCAGACCGUAAACGGUGGGCACUAGUUGUGGGAACCUUCCACGGUUUCUGCGACGCAGCUAACGCAUUAAGUGCCCCGCCUGGGGAGUACGAUCGCAAGAUUAAAACUCAAAGGAAUUGACGGGGCCCCGCACAAGCAGCGGAGCAUGCGGCUUAAUUCGACGCAACGCGAAGAACCUUACCAAGGCUUGACAUAUAGGGAAAAGUGGCAGAGAUGUCAUGUCCGCAAGGGCUCUAUACAGGUGGUGCAUGGUUGUCGUCAGCUCGUGUCGUGAGAUGUUGGGUUAAGUCCCGCAACGAGCGCAACCCUCGUUCUGUGUUGCCAGCAUUUAGUUGGGGACUCACAGGAGACUGCCGGGGUUAACUCGGAGGAAGGUGGGGAUGACGUCAAAUCAUCAUGCCCCUUAUGUCUUGGGCUGCACGCAUGCUACAAUGGCCGGUACAGAGGGCUGCAAUACCGCAAGGUGGAGCGAAUC